GCCUGUAGCAUCAACUGUUUGCGAGCAAUUGGGCUUUGAAUGUAAUACUACCUACCACGAUCAAAAACACAGGCCUAUGAAUAGCAACGUUAAGCUGUCUAAUGAAACGAAAAUGGUGGUCACCCUAUAAAAACCUUGUAAUGAAACGUUACGUUGGGAAAAAACAAACCUUACAUUAUUAAAGAAAGCGCAACAAAUGGCAAUAGUUGAAAACGUGUGGAAACCUACGAGUCAACAUAUCUGAGUACCUGAAAUCGAAAGUGAACUUUUAGCAGAUAUGACAGUCGCAGUUACAGACUUUGCGGUUGUUUCCUGUAAGCUUUCAAAUCGAAGGGCAAAACGCGUUUUUUAGACUAUAAUGAUACAUGAAUAAAAAGUUUAGAAAAGGAAUAUCAGUAACCGGAGCUGACAAUGGCAAUAAACAGUGCCAAUUCUAGGCUUUUUGGGGCCGUAAACAACUUUUUUAUUAGGGCCUGCUCUCCCCUAUCGGUCAAUGGCCCCCUAGCACUUUUUAUCACAGGACCAGAAUACCAUGGUUUGAAGAAUCCAGGGGCAAUGUGUUAUUUGAACAGUGUUUUGCAGGUCCUCUUCAUGACGGAGGACUUCAGAGAGGCUGUGGAAAGUCAUUGUGAAGAAAACUAUAUUAUUGAUCUUCAGCUGCAUCAGCUGUUUUCAAAUUUAAAGGAAAAUGAAUCUAACACAAAGGACGUCAUGUCAACACUGGGCAUUGAAAACUUAUAUGAACAACGUGAUGCUGCUGAGUAUUUUGAGAAGAUUUUAAGCAUGGUUAAUCCUGAAGUGUCUAAGAUCUUUAAAGGAGAAUUAAGACACAUCACUACCUGUUUCAGCAAACAUGUAACCAGUGAUGAAACAGGUCCAUUUUGGACAUUGCCCCUCCCCAUAGCAGAUCCAUUGGACUCUUCCAACACCUACUGUGUGAAGGAUGGGUUUAACAAUUUCUUCAAGUCUUCAACUGUGAGUGGGGAAAACCAGAUGUACUGUGAUGAAUGUGACAAGAAAGCAGAUGCAACCAUUGAAUGCAGGAUGGAACAUCACCCAGACAUUCUUAUUCUGCUCCUCAAGCGGUUUGAAUUUGACUACGACAGCAUGGCAUAUGUCAAAAUCAACCGCUGUGUGGAAGUGCCUCACACAUUACAGACAGAGAAAAAUCUCUAUGAGCUUUAUGCAGUUGUGGACCAUUUUGGCAGUUUAAGUGGUGGACAUUACAUUGCUAAGAUCAAGUCCUUUGAGGAUCACAACUGGUAUAUCUUCAAUGAUUCCUUUGUAAACAAGUUGAAUCCACAACCAAACAGUACAAUGAUUGAAAGAUCCCAGAGUGCUUACCUACUUGUCUACAGAAAAUCGCAUGUUAAAAACGACCAUGCAACCGACCAAGUUCAAGUUCCUCCCAGUGAGGGUGGAGUUAAUAAAGAGGAUGGAGAGCAUGUUGAAAUGAAGACAAGUGGGGUUAACAUUAAUGGUGGUGUAGAACAGAAAGAACAUGAGCAUGCAGUCAGGAGGAAAGAACAACUGAGACAUUUGAGAAAGCCAGACACAGGAACAGAUACUGUUAUUGAUAAAACAAAACCAAUAUACUGUGGUUUGUUUGAGGAAAGCGUGGAGUACAUAGCACACAGGAGACAGGAUGUGGAUGAGGACAAAUACUUGGUGUCAGUAACAGAUGUCACUCUGCAGCAGACACCAGAGACACAACAGAAAUUGGGCAAGCUCCGUGUAUACCAUUAUGACUAUAUUUUGCCCGUUAGGAGUUCACUAAGGGAGAAGGAUAAUUUUGUGGAGAAAGGACCUAAGGGUAAUUUUGUGGAGAAAGGGGAAAGGGAUAAUGUUGUGGAGAAAGGGAUCAGGAUACUGUGGAGACAAGGAAAGGGGACAAUUUUGUGGAGAAAAGGGAACAGGAUAAUGUUGUGGAGAAAGGGGAACAGGAUAAUGUGGAGAAAGGGGAAUGGGAUAAUGUGGACAAGGCGGGCAGGGGUAAUGUUGUGGAGGAAGGGGAACAGGAUAAUGUGGCAGAGAAAGGGGAACAGUAUAAAGUGGAGAAAGGGGAACUGGAUAAUGUUGUGGAGAAAGGGGAAAAGGAUAAUGUGGACAAAGGGGGAGGGGGUAAUGUUGUGGAGAAAUGGGAGCAGGAUAAUGUGGAGAAAUGGGAGCAGGAUAAUGUGAGAAAGGGAAACAGGAUAAUUUGAAGAAAGGGGGACAGGAUAAUGUAGAGAAUGAGAGACAGGAUAAUGUGGAGAAAGGAAGAGGGGAUCAUGUUGUGGAGAAAGGGGAACAGGAUAAUGCUGUGAGAAUGGUAGAUAAAGUCAGUGUGUUGAUGUAAAAGGAGAAAGGCAUCUUAAUGACACGCAGACCAGUCUGACCAAGUACGAACAGUCUUCCAGCUCUGCAAACGUGCAAGAGCAUAGUCUCACAUACUUUUUACAAGCCUUGUACGUUUGAUGAACUCAGAGGAAAAGAAAUGCAAAGAGGAAUUGAAAAAUGGUGCUGGAGGAAUAAAAAGAGAAGGAUAAAACAAGUGAAGCGUUUGAGUAUACCUUCAGGGAAAGAGCAGAAAAAGAGGAACUGAAAGAUGACCGGGGUAACAGGAUAUGCCUUUCUGACCAGAUAAAGAUGUCAGCCCAAGUAGCUUCUGGAAUGGCUUAUCUGGAGUUAAAGAACUUCCUCCACAGGGACCUGUCUCCAAGGUGGCUGACUUUGGCCUCGCCAUGGUUGUUAAAGCUACGCCAAUGCCAUUUAACUGGACUAGUGUCUAUUACAGUGCAUACCUGUGGGGGAUGCCCUGUUCCCUUUGAGAUGGACAGCUCCCGAGGCAAUCGCCAGCAAGACGUUCACCAUCAAGGGUGACGUGUGGUCCUUCUUGUUGUAUAAGAUCAUGACUUUUGGUAAGAAGCCCUAUGCAAGUAAGAUUUUUAUAUUUACUUUGUCCACAUAGAAAUUCUGCACUAAGUGGAAAUGUCUUAGAGAUCUGGGGGCUUUUAAGUGGCGAGUCAAGACCGUUAUCAUAAAUUGUAUUCCACAAAAAAUAAAUAUAUAUCAACCGAGCAACAAUACACUGACACAACGGUCUGAGUUCUGCCAACAAACCUGAAAGUUUAUGCCCAAGAAUGGCAGAUAACCCCACUUCAGUACUGUGCUGUGUUUAGAGUAAUUGGACAGUAAGCAUUGGACAGUAAGCAAUUAUUUAUGGCUCAGCAUUCAAGUUUGGGGGACAACAAACAGUUACUAUAAGGUUCAAGUAUUGAUUCUUAGAUUUUAGUUGAGGGUAUUUGUGUAUGGAGGACUAA